rnacentral:rRNA from 1 species
GGCGUAAAGAGCUCGUAGGUGGUUUGUCGCGUUGUUCGUGAAAUCUCACGGCUUAACUGUGAGCGUGCGGGCGAUACGGGCAGACUUGAGUACUGCAGGGGAGACUGGAAUUCCUGGUGUAGCGGUGGAAUGCGCAGAUAUCAGGAGGAACACCGGUGGCGAAGGCGGGUCUCUGGGCAGUAACUGACGCUGAGGAGCGAAAGCGUGGGGAGCGAACAGGAUUAGAUACCCUGGUAGUCCACGCCGUAAACGGUGGGUACUAGGUGUGGGUUUCCUUCCUUGGGAUCCGUGCCGUAGCUAACGCAUUAAGUACCCCGCCUGGGGAGUACGGCCGCAAGGCUAAAACUCAAAGAAAUUGACGGGGGCCCGCACAAGCGGCGGAGCAUGUGGAUUAAUUCGAUGCAACGCGAAGAACCUUACCUGGGUUUGACAUGCACAGGACGCCGGCAGAGAUGUCGGUUCCCUUGUGGCCUGUGUGCAGGUGGUGCACGGCUGUCGUCAGCUCGUGUCGUGAGAUGUUGGGUUAAGUCCCGCAACGAGCGCAACCCUUGUCUCAUGUUGCCAGCGGGUAAUGCCGGGGACUCGUGAGAGACUGCCGGGGUCAACUCGGAGGAAGGUGGGGAUGACGUCAAGUCAUCAUGCCCCUUAUGUCCAGGGCUUCACACAUGCUACAAUGGCCGGUACAAUGGGCUGCGAUGCCGCGAGGUUAAGCGAAUCCUUUUAAAGCCGGUCUCAGUUCGGAUCGGGGUCUGCAACUCGACCCCGUGAAGUCGGAGUCGCUAGU